UGUCGGCGGCCGCGGCCUUGCGCUUCCGGGGCCGGGGAGGCGGGUUUCUCUCCCUCAAGCCCCGAGGGACCCCGAGGCCCGGGGAGGGGCCCCGCGGGGUCCGGAAGCGCAGCGGGUACCGGACUCCCCGCAGCCCCACCCGGCGACGCAGGCCUCGGUCGGGCCCGUGCGCCGCGCAGUGCGCGCCUCCCCGGCCUAAGUCCCGGACACGUCCCCGAAACGGAGGCCCCGGCCUCCCCGACUCCCGCCAGGGCGGACCCCAAGGGGGUGCAGUCAUGUCCCGGGAAGGGCAAAUGGAACAAAGGGGGCCGCGCUCGUUGGGGACGGACGCUCGGGCGGGAUGUCCCUGGCCUGGGAGCUGGAGGGCGGAGAGCGGAGGAGGAAUGGAGAGAGACGCAGAGGCAGAGACCGGCUCCAUCGGAGUCCCAGCGGGGAGGGAGGCACCGCCAGGGUCCGCCGCGUCAGUCACUUCCACUAGAGCCCCCUCCAGGAGGCUGCGAGACCCGGGGGACACCCGAGAUUCGGGGCGGGGGCCCUGUGCGCAGCUCGCCGGCUCCUCACCGGCCUCUCCCGGGCCUCCUGCCUGGGCGCUCACAUCCCGGGGUCCCGGACCUGAUGCCCUCAGCAGGGGAUGGGUGGGGCGCGCCCUUCGGACCAGUCUGCACCUGGGGAUGGAGCCCCAGGCUGUGGGGGCCUCCUGGCCAACCAGGGGCCACCCGGCCCAGCUUCGGCCACAAAUCCGGGCACUGUGCUCCCAGGGACACCGAGGGCGCCAAGGAAGCAGUGGGGAGCCCAGGACACGACCGCGGACUGGAGGGGCCGCCGCCGGGCUCAGUCUCCCAAACCCGCCGCGGGGUCGGGCCGGGCCGCCCCGGCGGCCGACAGCCGGAGAUCGUGCCCCGGGGGCCCCGGCGGCCGUCCUGCCGCCCUGCUGCGUCCACCGAGAGACUCCGGGGCCUCCCGCGGGCGGGCGGGCAGCCGGAGCGGGCUCCUGGACCCGUGCGGAAGGACAUUCGUCUUCUUCCAGGAGCUGAGAUGCGUGCCCUGAGUUCCUGGCGACGGACGCUGCUGGAGCCUGGUCCCGCGCGCCCUCUAGGGCUUCCUGGGCUGCGUAUUAGCCCUGCUGAGACACCCAGGAUGCUGGCUCAGUAUGGGGCAGAGCCAGCUUCGUGAGCCCAGCCGGACUAAAUCCAGUUUGCACCCACUGUCUGUGCUUCAAAGUUGGGCUCCUGGCUCCUAGCCCCACCCACACAGCAGACAGCCCCUUUCUACCUCCUGGCUCCCUCCAGCUGAGGACCUCAGAGCCCACAGGCAAGGAACCCUCUCUACAGGUCAGCUUUUUACUAUUCCAUCGAAAGCCGAAAGCCAUAGCCCUUCUUCCAAAUCCGGCCUGAAUUUGCAGCUAUGGACCCUUCUUCUGUCUGAGGCAGUGACAGACACAGGCUGGGUGGCCAGGUGACGACUGAUGGUCUGGAUGGGUCUGCUGGCUGACUGGCUUCCCGGGAGGCAGAGGGGAGUUUCUAGACAAGGCAUCUGCACUCUCCUCCACCUUCUCCUGCACCUGUGGCCCUGGCAGCCUCCAGGGACACCUGCUGGAGACCUACUGCAGAGGCGACCCUCCUCCUCAAGACCUCUCCGCCACAGGUGCUCAGUGGUGAGUGGAGGUCGUGAGGCCACCUUGGAACUGUGCCCUCAUUGGCCACAAAGUUAAAUAAAAUGGUUGCAUUGUAGUGAU
ensembl:lncRNA